GCUUCGUUCUGUCAAUAUUAUGACCCCAAAGAGAAACUGGUGGUGGUCAAAAAGCGCACCCUCUUACACUGCGAUGAGGAACGAUAUAUAUUUUCGCGAAUGAGAGCGAACGAUAUAAAUGAUUCUUCAAAGGAAAUGGACUUGAGAUUGCCCGCACAAGCUUCAUGGCUAUACUGAAUUCGUACCAAAGCAGAUUAUGAAUUUCUUAGCUUAGUUCAGAUAAGUUAUAAUCAAUGUUUUAUAGUAUUACUAUAAAAAUAUAAAUUUAACCUAUGACAACAUCGCAUUUAUGAAUCAACAUGUUUAUUUUCCUAGGCUUAGUUUACAGGGGGUGGAUUGUACACAAGUAGUUCUGGCUACCAUAACUUUUAAUCAUAAAUGUCGCUUGUUAUGAUUUUUGACUGGCGCGACUUUAUAGUUAUGGACCAACCCCAUUAGGAAAGUCAACCAGUAAUUCCCGAAAAGUUGACAGUUAACAAAGACCGGUCCAAAACAGCUUUAAUAUGCAGUUAUUGGCCCAAAUCAACCACUUGAUCGGAAAGAUAAACAUUUUUCACAUUUAACUGAUAUAUUCUUUCACAAAAUACUAUCUUAAACAUUUAAAAUUUAUCUAUUCUGCUCUUACAUAUCGAGAAAAACAGCGAUGUGACAGACUUUCUUGAAAUGCAAAUCUCCCGAGAUUUCACGGUCAUAUGACGUUAUUUCUAUUUUUAGUAACAUACCAUGUGCUCAAGUGUUUUCAAAUUCAGAAUGACAUUUCCCGGUAUUUUAGAUUAUUCUGGCUUGUUUUGCACACAAAUUGUAGUGUUAAUACAAACUCAAAGUAAAUAUUAUUUAAAACUACCUGAUUCACAGUGAAAUCAGUCUUAUAAUCCACCAUACGUAAGUUGUUAAUCACAAAUAAUAGAUUUCAGAAAAAGAAAGUUAUGUUUACAAUCUCAGCAAAAAAUGUCAAGGUCGAUCCGAAAGUAUCCAAAUGAAAACUCGUCACGUGACAAAGCGACAAUGGCGUCAAAAUUGUGAAUUUUAGACUGAUGAGAGUUAUGUUCAUCUAUUGUAAGAUGCAUUUGAAAUAUUUGAACCUUAAAAUAUUCCCGGAUGCAGUAAUUUAUAUUCAUUCACUAAUAUAUGUAGAAAUGUAUCCAAGAAAAUUAGCUUUCUUUGAAUUAUAGCGUGACAUAAAUAUGUUACGACUCUGGUUGACUUUCGAUACGGGGUUCGCUUCAGCGUACAGGUCUGUCAAUACUUUAUAAAAUGUACGCUGAAGUUUCUUUAGCUAGUACACAAGUAGCUAACAAUCCACCCCCUGUAACCUAAGCCUAGGAAAAGAUAACUGGUGUGGCGUAAGUGAGAAAAAUAGUAAGAAUUAUUAACAAUCACUUACUUGUGUAUGAAGUCAUCAAUAACUUUUUAAAUAUUGAUAAUGCAUCUACAGGAUUUACACAGAGGUUAAUUGGAUAUCAGUUGACUAUUCUGAGCAUAAGAAUAAUGCCAUAUAAGUAUAGUAAAUGUACACACCUUACUAAAGUUUACACAAAACAUAUAAAAUCAGCAGUUGGCCACCAUGUUGAACACCAGUUACUAUUGUUCUCACUUACGCCACACCAGUUAAUUGCGUAUGAUCCAACCUCUGGGUUAGAAAGUAUCUUGCUAUUAAGAAUUGUCUGAACAAACAUUUGCUCAAAUAUUCUGUGUUCUGAGAUCCAAUGAGGUCUAACUCCUGCUGGUGUAGCUGAAGUUUCACUUUUUUAGAUUUGGCUUGCAAAUCUUUAAUUUUUGUGAAAAAGCAUUUCUUAAAUUCAUUGGUUCCUUGUCCAACUCAGCACGGAAAUUCAGCCAAUGAGAAACCUAUUAAAAUACAUGUAGUUCUUGAAUGGUUUGGGCUUUUAUAAAUACAUAUGUAGUUAUGUACAGCUCAAUGUUCUUCCUGGUAAACGCAUGUAAACUAUUAAAACAAAUUAAGUCUCAAGUAUCUCUAUAACAUCGAGUUCCAUCAACUUAAUACAUCAAAACAAACACAACAACUGUUAUCUUCAACAUCAAUUUGCAUGUCUUUGGUAGAAAAUUGCUCAAAACAAAAACUUCAUGAGAAAACACGUUAUCGAACAAAAAGCAGAAGUUUUUAAUUGAAAAAUCAAUGUAUCUUACAGAGGUUCUGGAGAACGUUGAUGAAGCAUGAUGUGUUGAUCGACACAAGAUCCAUCUGUCAGAGGAUUCCGAAGAUUCAGAAUAUUCGGCUUUGUCAAUUUAAAAAACUUUUUAUGAAACGUUGAUAUGUUUGAAACAAUGGAUGUUCCAUAGAGAAAACUAUGACUGAACCUUGUACACUGCUUUACGAGAUCUAGCAAUGUCUCAGAUUAAUGCAGUGUUGGCAGGUAUGCAAACGUCCUUACAGUAUGACCACUUCAAAGGGGCAUUGUACCCCCUGACAUUGGACUGUGUGCCAGCCCAAAAGGUAUUCCCAAUUAAAUCCCUGGUUCAAAUUGCCUCAGAUUACAUAGUGAAGGACGCUACCAUGACACUAAGCGCAAUAGAAGUCAUGCCUCAGGAAGUGUUUACAGUGCUUUUACAGCAGGCAUUAGAAGGAAACAGAGAUCGUGCAGUGGAUGUUUUGCUUACAAAAUGGCCUUUACCCACAUUGUCACUCAAGAAAUUUGCACCAAACAUUUUCACAAAUCUUGGGCUACUUCACAGUCAGUCAGAAUUGAUAAAAGUGGCGAAGCAGGGUUUACGCUACACUACUUGCAUUGCUCACAAUUUUCUGGAAACGCUGAAGAGAAAAUGUGACACAAGAUUAAAAGUUGUAGACAUCAGUGGAUAUCCAACUGCUGAAGUGAUCACAUACUACCUGGCAACACACUGCAUGCUGGCCCACAAUGAGGCCCGACAGAACAUGAUGAUACGCAAGUAUGAAGAGGCUGUGAAACUGCUGCCAGAAAAUGAAGCCUGUGCUCGCGAAAGGUUCACAACCGACCAGUCACUGCCUGAUGACAACUUUGUGGUGAAAUUGGACGUGUUUAUAAGCUCCGAGGCGUCACUGUAUGAGCUCUGCAAGGCCUUGAAGGUGUCCGGUUUCCAGGAGAGCACUUUAAAACUGAUUGUUAACAAGCUGGACGCCACUUGUCUUGGUGCAGGCAAAGUGGAAAUACUCCUAGAGCAGCUCAACCCUGAGUUUCUUCAUGGACUAAGUUUGAAGUUUAACUCAAUCAAUUCCGAAGAGCUGUCCAAGCUGUGUCCUCUCCUACGAACUCUCACAAACCUUACCAUCCUGGAUCUCUCGGGUAACAUGAUCAACCUGUCUGUAGCGGCCAGCGAUACUUGCGUUAACUUCACAGACACUUUAGGCUCACUAGGUCAUUUAGUGAGACUCGAUUUAAGUAACAAUAUUGUACGCGGCAACCUUCGGAGAGUGUUGUCUGCAGUUGUUCAGCCACUGCAGUAUUUAUCACUCGAAGGCUGCGGCUUAUCGCCAGUGGACAUCGCGUAUCUUUCCGUAUCUCACCAUUCUGCAUCUGUUUGUGAACUUCUUCUCAGUAAUAACAAUUUACGACAGAGCCUGUCUUCUCUGAUGGCAUUACUUAGGAACCUAAAAACCAGCCUUAAGCUUAUCCAGCUCGAGAACUGCAGUUUUUCCAAUGAAAACUGCAGCAUGUUGUCAGAAUCCAUGAAGAGACUUACCUCGGUAGUGUACCUGGAUCUACAGGAUAAUCUCUUCUCUCUGAACAAUGUCUACCAGCUUGGGGUGUCCCUAGCGUGUCUGGAGACUCUGCAGUACCUAAGGGUGUCUUACCCAACUGACAGUUACCAUGACGACCCUGAAGUGCAGAACCAGUCGCAGAAGGAGUUUGUGGUCAUGCUGGGCGAGCUUAUAUACCGAGAGAAGCAGCGGCUGCACCAGAAUGAGAAAACAUUGAGUGUGAUAUUUUGUCAUUUGCCUCAUGUGCAUGUACAAAUAUAAUUGUAUUUGUAGUGAUUUAUUAUUUCCUGACCUUUUCAAAAGAGCCACAUUGUGGGAAAACUAGGCUUUAUAAAUGUGCAUAAAAUUCCAUCCCAAAUUUGCCUGUGCAGUCUGCACAGGCUAAUCAGGGAAGACACUUUCCACCUAAACGGGAUAUUUGUUUGGAAGAUGCUUCCUUUAAAUGAAAAAAUUCAUAAAAGUGGAAAUUGUCGUCUCUCAUAACCCUGUGAGGACUGCACAGGCUAAUCAGCACAUUAUUUUACCCACGUGCAGUCCGCCAAAUUUGUGCAGUAGGAGGCUUAAUAGUAUUUUAAGUGAUUUGUUUUCAAAUGUUUGGGCUAAUACUUGUUUUUAUGCACUUGGAUCGAAUGAACGGGGGUAUAUUGUUUUUGGCCUGUCUGUCUGUGUGUGUGUCUGUCUGUGUGUGUGUGUGUCUGUCUGUCUGUCUGUCUGUCUGUCUGUCUGUCUGUCCGUCCGUCCGUCCGUCCGUCUGUCUGUCUGUCUGUCUGUCUGUCUGUCUGUCUGUCUGUCUGUCUGUCUGUCUGUCUGUCUGUCUGUCUGUCAUUGUAUGUGUCACAAAACUUUAACCUUGGUCAUAACUUUUGCAAUAUUGAUUAUAGCAACUUGAUAAUUGGCAUGCAUGUGUAUAUCAUGGAGCUGCACAUUUUGAGUGGUGAAAGGUCAAGGUCAUCCUUUAGGUCAAAGGUCAAUAACAAAAAUUCAAAGCGGCGCAUUAGGGGGCAUUUGUUUCUGACAAACACAUCUCUUGUUGCUUAAUAAAAAAUGCUUACAUUCUAUUUAAAUUCUUUGUUAAUAGGUUCAAGUUGUAAAGGUUUCAUUGCCUAUCCUAAGAUACUGAUGAUCAGCAAACAGCAUAAAACCUGAACUGCCAUUGAGUUACUCAUAGGCUGUUCUGGUUUUAUGCUGGUUGCAUACAGCUGUUUCAAAUUUUCUUUUUAGUGGGAAAGGGUUAAGAUAAUGAUGUCUGCAAGUACUAGUAAUUUGAUUUACAAAUCCCAAUGUUUAAUGAGAUAACCCAACAAAAUGAAAGCUUCAGUCAAGUAUGAUCAACCGUUAAGAUUACUUUAAGGCAGUGUAAGCCCAGAAGGUGAUGGUCCAUAUAAUGGUGCAAUAUUUUAAUCUUUAUGUACCCAAACAGAGGCUUGCUUGUAUAUGAAAUUGUUGUGCUCUUCUCAUAUGAUGUUAAAAUCUUCAUGGUUGAAAUUCUUCAGACUUUGUCAUGACUUUGUCUAUAGUUAUCAGGCUUGACAUAUCUUAUAUUUGCUGACAUGUCCAGUUUUUACAAAGCUUUUGUGACUGUUGUCUGUACAUGCUGUGGGACAAAAUUGUCAAUGCAGAUUUUUCCAUCACUGGUUAUUUUUAUAAAGUAUUUUGGACAAAGAAUCACCCUUUUUUAAGCUGUCAUCUCUUUUAUUCACAAUUCUUACAUAAUAUUUAAUUAUUUUGCUAUUGAUAAAGAACACUAUAAUUUUUAGCUGGGCUGUUUUCAGAGAAAACCUGGGGUAUUGUCAUAGCCAGCUCGUCGUGUCAUGACGUCCGCCAUCCACGUUGUGCUGAAACCGUAACAUUGGUUCAAAAAUCAAAGUGCUUCCACCUACAACUUUGAAACUUCAUAUGUAGAUGCACCUUGAUGACUUCUACAUGCCAAACCUAUUUUUCGGUCACAAGGUCAAAGGUCAAGGUCACUGUGACCUCUAAAAAACAAACACAUUCUGACAAGCAUUCAUUUAUUCAAAACUGCAACCGCAGCCGAGCAUUGGCACCCUUCAUGGGGUGUGCUGUUGUUGAAAUUGUCUUCAUUAACAAAGCAGAAUGAAGUAUUGAACUUAAGCACAGAAUGUUCGAAUUUCAAUGAAAACAUUAUUCAAACUAAGCACACAGUUAACUACAUUCCAAAUCAGGAGUUUAAAAUAUAAUUAUCAUGAAAUAUCUUAUGAAAAUAGUCUUAAAAGAAAUGAACACAAUUUAUUUCAUUAGAAUUGUAUUGAUUUAUUAUGCUCCCCCAAAAUUUAUUUUGGGGGGAUCAUACAGUCGCCGCUUCGUCUGUCCUUCCGUCUGUCCGUCCGUGCAAAAUUUUUGUCCGGGCUAUUUCUCAGCAACUAAUGACUGGAAUUCAAUGAAACCUUCUGGGAAGCUUCACUACCAAGAGGAGAUGUGCAUAUUAUCAGCGGGUUCUGGUUGGAUGAUUUUUCACAGAGUUAUGGCCCUUUGAAAUUUUCCAUUAACUGUACAUAUAGUGCUAUUCUUGUCCAGGCUAUUUCUCAGCAACUAAUGACCGGAAUUCAAUGAAACUUUAUGGGAAGCUUCACUACCAAGAGGAGAUGUGCAUAUUAUCAGCCGGUUCUGGUCGGAUGAUUUUUCACAGAGUAAUGGCCCUUCGCAAUUUUCCAUUAACUGUACAUAUAGUGCAAUUCUUGUCCGGGCUAUUUCUCAGUAACUAAUGACCGGAAUUCAAUGAAACUUUAUGUGAAGCUUCACUACCAAGAGGAGAUGUGCAUAUUAUCAACGGGUUCUGGUCGGAUGAGUUUUCACAGAGUAAUGGCCCUUUGAAAUUUUCCAUUAACUGUACAUAUAGUGCAAUUCUUGUCCCGGCUAUUUCUCAGCAACUAAUGACCGGAAUUCAAUGAAACUUUAUGGGAAGCUUCACUACCGAGAGGAGAUGUGCAUAUUAUCAGCGGGUUCUGGUCGGAUGAGUUUUCACAGAGUUAUGGCCCUUUGAAAUUUUCUAUAAAAAGUCUUGUCCCCCCAACUACUGUGCCCUGAAGACGUUUCCUUUUAUCUGAAUAUAUAAUGCAAUAAAAAACAAUUUUGGGGAGCAUCACCCGUCUCCGACGGUUUCUUGUUAUCUGAUUGCUGGGGGCGUAAAUAUUUCCCCUAUUCCCCCCAAUCCGCCCACAAAUAAACAAGCAAAACAAAAAACAAAUGGGCUGUGCACCAUGAAAAGGGGUUUAAUACAUGUGCGUAAAGUGUCAUCUCAGAUAAGCCUAAUUAGGCUAAUCAGGGACAACACUUUAUGCUUUUAUGAUAUUUUUGGUUUAAAGAAAGUUUCUUGUUAAGGUGGAAAGGUUCGUUCCUGAUUAGCCUGUGUGGACUGCACAGUCUAAUCUGGGACAACACUUGGCACAUGCAUUAAACCCCUUUUUCUCAGAGCGUGCCUCAAAUAUAUGUGCUAAAUAGAAAUAGGUUGGGUUGGUGGUAAUAUCAAACACACUGUUCUAUCUAUUAGCUUAAAUUCUAAAUUCGUGGAAGUGUUUGCUCACACUCCAGAACUUCUAAAUACCUGGAUGACUGGAUAUGUCUUUAUGUCACUUACUCCCAUAACCAAAUGCUGUGUUUUGUACUGGUCUUGUCCUUUCUGCCCAUGGUCAAGGUCAUAAUUCAAACUGUCUUGAUCAUUAUCCAAAGUUAAAUAGAAACCGUUUCUAGUAUAUGUUAACAAUAAGCAUGACAUGUAUCCAUUAUUUAUUUUAACCAAUGAAAUUCAUAAAUACACAUGUGAUUAUUUGAGACAGUAUAUAUUUAAAAGACUAUUGUAUUCUGUGACUCAGGGUAAAUUUGUAUUUUUUAAGACUACAGGUACAUGAGCUUGAUUUGAAUACAUAUACUUAAGUUUGAUGUGAUAUUGUUAAAGAAGAACAACCGCUGUAAAUAUACAUAGUUUGUAAUUGUUUAAGAUGCUUGUUGUAAUUUUAAAAAAUAA